rnacentral:rRNA from 1 species
GACGAACGCUGGCGGCGCGCCUAACACAUGCAAGUCGAGCGAGAACCAGGGCUUCGGUCCUGGGGACAGCGGCGAACGGGUGAGUAUCACGUGGGUAACCUGCCCUCGGCACCGGGAUAGCCCGGGGAAACUCGGAUUAAUACCGGACAGCCUCACUAGCCCUCGGGCGAGUGAGAAAAGGUGGCUUCGGCUUCCGGCUGAGGAUGGGCCCGCGGCCGAUUAGCUUGUUGGUGGGGUAAUGGCUCACCAAGGCUCCGAUCGGUAGCUGGUCUGAGAGGACGAUCAGCCACACUGGGACUGAGACACGGCCCAGACUCCUACGGGAGGCAGCAGUGGGGAAUCUUGCGCAAUGGGCGAAAGCCUGACGCAGCAACGCCGCGUGCGGGAAGAAGGCCUUCGGGUUGUAAACCCCUUUCAGUUGGGACGAAGCUCCGCCGGUGAAUAGCCGGCUGGAGUGACGGUACCUUCACAAGAAGCCCCGGCUAACUACGUGCCAGCAGCCGCAGUAAAAC